rnacentral:tRNA from 1 species
AGCAGCUGAUUCGUAAUCAGCAGGCCCGGGGUUCAAAUCCCCGUGCCGGCUCCA